GCGUAGCUCAGUUGGUAGAGCAUCAGAUUGUGGCUCUGAGGGUCGCGGGUUCAAGCCCCGUCG
rnacentral:tRNA from 1 species